ACUCAAUAGAUACCGGGUAGUCCCAGCCCUAAACGAUGGAUACUAGGUGUCGGGGGUAUCGACCCCUCCGGUGCCGCCGCUAAACGCAGUAAAGUAUCCCGCCUGGGGAGUACGGCCGCAAGGUUGAAACUCAAAGGAAUUGACGGGGGCCCGCACAAGCGGUGGAGCAUGUUGUUUAAUACGUCACUAACCGUAGAACCUUACCAGGGUUUGACAUGGCGUGCCCUCCUAUGAAAGUAGGCUUCCCCGCAAGGGGACACGCACACAGGUGUUGCAUGGCUGUCGUCAGCUCGCGUCGUGAGAUGUUGGGUUAAGUCCCGCAACGAGCGCAACCCUCAUCCCAUGUUGCCAGCGAGUAAAGUCGGGAACUCUUGGAAAACUGCCGGGGUAACUCGGAGGAAGGUGAGGACGACGUCAAGUCAGCAUGGCCCUUACACCCUGGGCUACAAACAUGCUACAAUGGACGGUAAACAGAGGGAUCCGAGACCGUGAGGUGGAGGCAAUCUCAGAAAUCCGUUCUCAGUUCGGAUUGCAGGCUGC
rnacentral:rRNA from 1 species